CGCACGGCGGCCGCGGUCAACCGCCUGGCGACGGCAGGAACGGACUCUCCUGCGCACGCGCCUCUAACUGUUACUCAAGACUGAAGGAAGGCGGUGCAAGCGCUGCUGUUCCCGCCCCGCGUAAGGUCACAUGACGAAGAAUGGAUAGUAUAUUACACCUCUCAAAUGCAAAUGCUAGUGGAAUUGGCCUCUCAGCCAGGACGGCCAGGACCCCCUGGUAAAGAUGGAGCACCUGGGUGGCCAGGGCCUCCUGGCUACCUGGGAAUGCCAGGACAGAUUGGGAGAAAGGGAUGACAAGGAAUGACAGGAAUAAGAGUCCAGAUGAGCCCAGGUCAGCCAAAGGUGAAAAAAGACACAAAGGAGUUGGAAUCAUGGGGGAGUCUGGGCCCCCAAGUCCUCCAGGCUCUAUCUUCCUCAAGUCUCCCUUCAGCUUCUGAUGUUUCAAGGGAAGAGCAUGGGGGGUUUGUUCCAAGGAAAGAAGGGAUCAGAGAUUUAGAAUCUUCUUGCACUCUUCCCUGUGACACUACCUGCAUCAGCUUCAACCACCAGAGAAUCCUUCCAGAAUAUUCAAUUCCUCAUUGAGGAGAAAAUUGAGAGAUUUCCUCUUUCCCUUUUGCUGCUAGUAUAACCAGCUACAAGUGCCUUAGAUGCCAUUCCAGCAAGAGGGAGGGCUACCCAACUUCCUCCUGCCCAUCCCCUUCCUAACCAUUGGGGCCCCUGCAAGUGCCCAAGCCCCUGCCUUGGUCUACUCACCAGUUGGUCAGGUGAGAUCAUCCUACUCUGGCAGGUAUCUUUUCCUCUUACAGCCCACCCAGAAGCACCAAACGGCAGCCCAUGCCAAGAGUGGAGGGGAAAGGCCUUCCACAAGAUCUUCUCUGUCUUGAAGGCAACUUGCCUAACUUCGGGGUCCUGAUCACAACCAAGUUCUCCAGUCCUGGAGGGAUGAAGGAAAAGGCUCAGGACUAGCACCUAAACAUGAAAGGGACUCAUGAAGAAAUCACCCCACCCUCCACCAAGCCCCACCAUUUCUACACCAACAGGGGGUAGAUCCUUUACUCUGGGAAACCCUGCUGCUGAGCAUCCCUGAGAAUGCAACCAAGACCUCCCAUUUGAGGUCUGGUAGCUAAACCUAGCCCUCUCCCUUCACAGGUCUUUUCCCUGUCCCUUCCCACUUACCAGCAUGGUAGGUGUCCACAUUCCCUUCAGUGUGGAUACUGCCUUUCUUGUGGACCAGGUGACGUAAAAACAAGGGUGGAAGGAAAUAGGACCACAGUUAAGGACCCUGUGCAUGAACAGUCUGCAUCCCAUCUUUUAAGACAGGAAGUACUUCCCUCUGUAAUCCCUCUGAGACUGACAGAUUGAGCCAUUUUUCCAGGGAUUCUUUAAGUCGCCCUGGGAGGAAAUUAAGUCAAGAGACCUAGCUAACACUCAGUGAGCCAGUCCUGGGGAGGCAACAUCUCCUGCACCUCCACAUCCUUCUGGCAGCACCCUCAGAGAGUGAAAUGUUGCCCACCAAGAUGACCCACUAAGGGAGACCCAAAAAUAUUGUUUUGCUUACUGAUGAGCAUGGCAGUCAUUCUUCUCACUGAAGCCUGCUCACUGUGGAAGAACCCCAGGGUGUUGUAGGUCUCCAUCUCACUGCAUUUCCGGAGCUGAGCUGCCAAAUCUGGGAUAACAAGCAAAGACAAAUCCUAAGUCCCCUAUGAAUACAGUGUCACCCAAGUGUCCCUGAGCCAAGGGGUGGAGGGGGGGGGGCCCUGCUCUUACCACACGCUUGAAGAUCUUAUGGAGCAGCUCCUGCAGACUAUAAGUCUCCCGCACCAGCAGGCUACCUUUCAGGUGCCACUGGAAGGCUUCCGCCAGCAGGUGCAGAUUGUCCUUGGCUGGCUUUUUAAAAGAAGAGGACAGAAAGGGGGUGAGAAAGGCCUCCCUCUCAGCACUUACUGUGGCCGCUGGACUCGGGGAUUCAAAGCAACAUUUUAGGUUGCUCCAAACGGUAGGGAAGAUUUUAGAUUUCAAUGGUCUUCUAUUGGUUGAAGCACAGCUGAGGGAAGGACUUUGGGGGAGCCAGAUUUAAGAGGGGAAGCAGGAGAGCGGAAGCUUUGCCUCAUCCCAGGAAAGAAGGGCCAUGGAUGAACUCUUGGAAGGGAAAGUGCAAGGGGGCAGAAAGUUCCAUUCUCUGAAAGGCCACAGCUGGGCUGCAAGUUGAUUCACCACCCCAUGAGGCUAACUCUCGGGCCUAGAUUUGGGGAAGCCUAAACGGGGAGGCAGGGACAGGUGGGGCCUCACUUGUGCUACCUCCAGAUCUUUGUCCUCCACGCACAUCAGCACUGCAAUGAGGAUUGUGAUGUUCUGGUUUGUACCCCUGUGAUGGUGGCAGUGCUGCAGGAGAUCCAGAUGUUUCCUCAUGGCUGCCCCUCGGAUCUUAGCUGCCUCCUACAGAGGUGAAAGAUGGUCUGGCUGGGGAGGACUAGCCAGGCUACAAGGAGUGUCCAGAUCUUCUCCAAGGAAGUGACAUGUUGGUAUUUCAUGAGCAGCUAAAAUAGGUUAAAGGAGCACAACACCCAUAAGCCCCUGGACCAGACCCUCUUCUCAGUGAAGCCUACACUGGCAAACAUGCUUCUGACCUCAACAGCGAAGGCCUCCUCUGCAAGGGAAUGCUUCUCUGGAUCUUCCUCCAGGAUGAAGAUGGAAGCCAGAUAUUCUUUCAGCUUGGGCACUGUGGACGAUGUUGUGUGGAGGAGGGCCCUGCAAUACACCAGAGGCCCUUGCUGAGUCCUGAGUGGGAGGCCUGGAGAGAGCAGACCUGACCCGAAUUUCCCUACAGCCCCCAGUCUUCCUGAGAAAUCUCAGCACUUGCCUUCACCUCACCAAGAGGGCCACAACCUGGGUGCAGCUGUGAGGGGAUCACAAGGUUUCCCAGCAGGUCUUCUCUGGGGGCACCUGUGCCACCUCUCUAAGAGGGUCUGGACAAUGUAGAGGGAGUGGGCAAGGGAAGGACUAGGUUGGAUCAUGGGAGAGAGACCAUGGGGGUGAAUUGUUUCCCACCUCAUGUGCCAGUUUCCUCCUCCUAAAAGGAAGUCUUCAUCUCAGUAAAAUGAGAAGUGAGGUGGUGGGUGGGAUUCAGACUCUUUACUGCAAGGCCUAGAAUAUCUUGACUUGAGUGAUAGGAGGCUAAACUCUCAAAGAAAUGUCACUAAGGAUUGAAAUCAAAAGAACUAAUAUAAACUUGUUUUCCAGAUUCAUAGUAAGAACAUUACUUGGGGCUAUGUUGAUGUUCCCACAGGUGAGCAGAAGCUAGGAGGAAUCAGAUGGAGCAAGAUAAGAGGGAUGAAUAUGGUGACCUGAAGGGCAGAAGAGGGGCUGUAGGGAAGGACAGAGGGGCAGGCAAAGGGUUGCUACAUGAGGGUUGCCAUCUUUUAAGCAGACCUCCUCCUGGGCCCAGCAAUGUUAUGGAUCCAGAGGUGGUCUCAGAGGCAAGCAGUGGGGUCUUCUGAUGGCCCUCAGCAGGUUCUCCACAAUGCUGACCCUGAAGCUGACCCAAAGCUAAAGAUUUCCCCUCAAUUUAUCUCACUACUUAAGUUAUUCCUAACAGGAUGCUAAUCAAGGCACAGGUGUAGAGCUAGAGAAAACGUUGGCAAACCUAUAGCACAAUCUCUUCGCUUUGCCCCACCUCUGACUGGAAUGACUUUCCCCACAGACAUGUUUUAAACAUGUUUUUAAAAACAUGUUGUUUUUUAAAAAACCAUGGCAGACAUACUUUAAGACUCUUUCCAAAGCCAAAUGGGCUGCAAACUCUGGGGUCUUUCCUGUGAAGCUGAGGGAAGGGACUAUUGUGCCAGAGUCACUCCAAUAGGCCAGAAAUGCUCCUCACACAUCAGACUGGGGCCUGGGACAUGUGUCCCUAGCCUGCCCUCCCAGAAUGAUGGGCUUUUUGCCCCCGCGUUCCCCAUUGCCAUGACUUACUCAGGAGACAGGUUUUGACUCUUGGUUCUCGGCUCCCUCAGUGAUGCUCUGCAGGCUUGUGAGGAUCUUAUUGACCAGGCUGACCAGGAAUUCAGGGAACCUCUCCUUCACCUCACUGGGAUGCUCUGCAGACUGGAUGAUCUGCUCGAUCUUCUUUGUUGUUCUCCCCUGAGGAGAAGAAGAGGGUCAGGCCUCACCACCUGAUCCGAGAGACUGUUAUGGAUCAGGAGACUUCUCAGGGCCAGGUCAGUGCCAUGGGUGUCUGCACCCAAAUCUGGACCUGGAGGACGCUCUCUCCAGUUCAGGGUUCCCGAAGUCAGCUGCUGGAGUCAUGGACAUCAGAAAGGGAAGAGGGCAAGUCCCUCAAGCCCCAUCCUGUGAGGACAGUGACUGCCAUCAAAGCCACACAGCUCUCCAGUGGAGCCAUCCUGUGUAGUGCAGGAGUCUUUUGGUUGUUCUGGGCUGGAUGAUCUGCAUAGGGAAGCUCACCCCAGCUUAUAUGAAGUAAUUGAUUCAAAUAUGUCUGUAAGCCACUUGGAAGACUUCUUGGCCAAUCGACAUACUUCAUCCGGUCAACCAGUCACAGGGGAUUGUGUUGUGGAGCACCAAUUCCUCUGCUCAGAUUGUUGGGAAGCAUCACUUCUACCUCUGGCAAAGGCAUCAUAUAGCUCUCUACGUGUGUUAUUAGGCAAAAGGUGGGGGAAACAGUGGAUAGGAGGGGCAGAGGUGUCAAAGGAGGUCACUCUUGGUUUUCAUUCCUUACCUCUCCCAGAUGGACUGAGAAGAACCAAUCUGGGGCCAGCUGUCCUCUUCCUUCAUCUUUGCUGAUGUUCCUGAGAGAGGAGAGCUGCUUAAAGAACUGUCCUGUUGGAAAUGGCAACCAGCUGAAGAAAAAAAAUGGGGACCCAAGGCGACACUAAACAUAAUCUAGCCUCCUGUGGAGGGCAUAGGAACAUCAUCAGACCAAAGAUCUCCUAAGUCCAGCAUUUGUUCCCAACUGUGGCCAUUGAGAGGCCCUAGGAAGCACACAAAGAGGGUACUGAGACAAGAGCCCUUCUCUGGUGUUUCUCCCUAACACCUGGUCAUGUUAGGAACAUGGGGGUCUCGGAGGUCCCUCAGCUAAUAGCCAACUGCAGAUUUUUGCCAACUGACUUGCUUGGGUGAACUCCUCCUCCAGAGUUAUCAGAAAGCAGGGAGGGAGGAAACAUCCCUCCAUGGUACUCAGAAAUUGGAGAACUGCUCCUGUCCCUUGCAGCUUUCUGGUUGCUACGUUAAAUGUUCCCUAGUCCCCUACCAGCUCCUAAGGCCACUUCUGUAGCCCUUCAACUGAGAAGAAGGUACCUGGCUGAAAUGGGGGUUGGUGGAGAGUCCCACAUCUUGUCCUAGAUCAGGCCUGCUCAACUUCGGCCCUCCUGCAGAUGUUGACCUACAACUCCCAUAAUCCCUUGCUAUUGGCUACUGUGGCUGGGGAUUAUGGGAGUUGUAGUCCAAAAACAGCUGGGGGGCCUAAGUUGAGCAGGCCUGUCCUAGAUGCUGCUGGCAUCAUACAUAGUGUCGUACGCAUUUUGAGAGGAUCACUGGAGAGGAGAGAGGAGAGAAACAGGAAUGUUCUAGUGCUUGCAUUUACGUUCCAAGGCUUCUGAGAGGCAAACCCAAGGAAUGGGUUUUCUCCAAGUAGCAUCCUGUUCCUGGUGAGUAGGGCUUGAUCACACUUUCCAGAGAAACAGAUAAUUUUGGGCCAUCCAUCAUGCUGUAUGGGGUGCUGAUGUUCAAAUUGUUUUAUUUAUCAAAUUUAUAUACUGCCGCAAACUUACAUCUCUGGGCGUAAGGUGCUGCUGAUAUCAUACAUUGUGUCAUCCUUGUCUGAAGAGGAGAACUGGGAAGCAGAGGGAAGAGAAACAGGAGCAUUCACCACCUUGGAUGGAUGAAUUAAUGGAUGACCCUCUAAGAAGUGCCUCUUAGAACAAAAGGCAUUUGGCACAUCUGGCCAAAAGAGUAUUUCAUCAUGUUUUCAGUGAUGCUCAACUGUCAAUGCAUACUGGAGCCCUGCAUUUCCUCCCAUCCCACCAAUAAAAAUCCCUCCCAUGCUGUAGCAUCUAGAACUGGAUCCAUUCUACAUUCUGUCUCCUACUGGGGACACACACAACCCACAGCCCAUACACAUGAAAAAAUGGAUGUUCAUUCCUGACCUCCUGGGGAGAGAGUCCUGAUUCUCAUAUAUCCUGAAAUCAUGGGCCCUCUUUGCUCAUUUAGCAGGGUAUGUUAUAUUUUGCUCAGUUAUCAUCUUUGAAGGCCUUCAAGGGAGCCAUAUAACCCCUCUUUUCAGCCUGGCUUUUAUCCAUAUUUGUUUGGUUUAAAAUAGUUUUUGCAAUGAGUUUUAUGUUCUCUUUUUUUUUUUAAUGAGCUGCUUUUCAUUUUGUGUUUUAUGUUGAAUUUUAAACAGGUUGAACUUUUGCUUGAAAACCUCCCUGAGCUGUGCUGAGACAGGUGGCAUACAAAUAAAAUAAAUCAAAUUAACAAACAAACAAAACAGAUAAUAAAAUGAUAGGAUUCUAUCAAAAACAAUGAUUGCAGUGGCAAAUAACUUCCUUUAUGGAGAAAAAUAUGAGUUUCACAUUCUUGCAGCAGGAAACAUAAGGUGUUGUUGCAUGUGUGUUGCAUAUUUUAAAAGCAAGGAAUGUUUUAAAAGCACUCACAAUGGGCAAUGCCAUUUAAACACAUUCACCCAAGCUGUUGCGAUGAUGUCAUGUUUGCCUUUCUGACAAGAGAGUGAGGUAAAGGAGGUUGCCUGUAACUUACUGGCAGAUCUUGCAGAAGGCACCUUGGGUACCCAUUAAAAAUGUCAUUUAGAAGGAUACAACUUGCCGCAUGCCAUUGAAAAGAUGGAUAUUGCUGGCACAAACAUAAUUGUUUUUCUAUUGUAAUUAAAGCAACAGGAUAAACCCUUUAAUGGGCAUCUUCUCCAAGAGGAUCACUUCUAAAAAAAUUUGAAGCUAGUGGCCAACAGCAUAUCUUGUUGCAAUGAAUUCCAUAUAUCUUGUUACAGCUUGUCAUAAUGAGGGUCUGCUCUCAUCUGUCCUCUACUUGCUGCCUUUUAUCAGGCGAUCUUCACUUCCAUUAUUGUGAAAGGAGAUGGAGAAAAACAACCCUCCAUGGUGCUCAGAGCUUUGAGACUUGCUCUCCCCUCACCCACCCACAGGCUUCUUGCUAAACCAUCUAGCCCCAUAACCCCCUGGGCUCUUAAGGGUGGUUCUCUGCUGCCCCUCAGCCGAGAAACGAGUACCCCGGGGAAUUGCUGAUGCUUUCCAUGUCCAGCUCCUGACCCCUAGUGCUGACCUGUGGUAUCUCAGCCUCCUGGAUGUCAGAACCCUGUAAAUAAGACAAAGGGGAGCAAUGCCUGCUCUUGUACUCACUCUGACCUUUCUAGGGCACAAAUGUGUUCUAACUUGUUGGUGGGAGUGUCAGGGCACAGCCACCACAUGCUUGUGGCCAUUUUAUUUUAUCAUAUGUCCAACAAUCAACCAUUGUGAUAUUAUACACUGUGGUCAACAAAAUGGCCACCAUAAUUUAAAAUGGCCACCAUCCUUCAGAAUGGCCAUUGACAUCUGUUGGCUGCAUCCUGGAGCUCUGGUCCAAAGACAGCAUGUAAAAUAGACACCUGAUAUUUCUUUAUUAAAAGAAAAAAAAGUUAUUAACAGAAAUGCCAGUGCAUGGGAGGUCCACAAUUGAAAGCGUAUUUCUUGUCAUUUAUUGUCAUUAUUCCUUGUCAUGUAUUCUAUGCAUGGAAUACAUUCCUUGCAUAGAGAGUGGAAUGGUAUCCACUGGUAUCUAUUUCCAUUUGUUCAAGAAGGAAGGCACAUGCCUGCUAAUGUGUAGUUUGGCCUUGAGAGGAGCUGAACCCCAUAAGUCAUCUUCAUCCAGAUGUUCUCUUCUCUCCUAUCUCCAGGGAGCAGUUUCUAAAGUGAGAGACAAGGUGGUCCCCAGAGUCAGGAGCGAGGGCCAUCUCUCCUGCUGUGGAGACUCUGGGCUUUUACCUGAGGGGAUGGCUGUUGUCUAUUUGAAAUGGGAAAGAGAGGCUUCAACAGCUUCUUCAAUAGGCACCCCUUCACCUUCAUCUUGUCCCAUCUACCAAAAUUCUAGACAACAUACUACAUCUGGAUUUCUACUCCAUUCUGGAUCUGUCCCACACUCUGUCUACUGCGGGCGGAGAUGCAAUCUCCCCUCUCCCGGCCAGCCCGGCCACAUAUAGGAUGGGAAUCUUGUCCCUCAUCUCACAAGACCAUUUGGUGGCAAUCGUCUCGAUUCAGGUUCUUGUUCCCAAUUCUGACUUUUAGAACCAUGGAUUCUUCGGUGAUAGACGUCUGUGAAUGAGAGAGGGGAGAGGAAUGGGUGCGCUGGUACUCACUCGAUCUUUACAGGGGAUCUGGAACUUCACACAUCCAUCAAGCGGUCCUUAACAGAUGUGUAUAAAGCAGAAAGUGGCUCCUUUGCACUUCAAAACAGUGUUGGGGAGGAUUUGGAAAAGGAGUGUGGUCACUUGAGAGGCAAAUAACCCUGAGCAGACAUGUUGGGGGGCGGGGCACUGUUCACCAUGCUCCCACACAGAAUUGGGCCCCUGCAGCUUCAUUGCUAACUAAAAGGGACACUUCCUGUCCUUAUAAUGCUUUUUGUUGACGAUGCCUUUAAGCUACUACUUAGAGACUUGGGAGAGAGAGAAAUCAUUUAAACUAGCUUUUUUCAUUUGUUUUUCUUUUUCCUUUUUCAUUCAUCUGAUUUUUCAUUUAAUUUAUCUUGGUUUUGUUUAUUAUAGUCAAUUUUUGCUUUUAUUUGUUUGUUUCUCUUCUCUUAUAACAAAAAUAGUGCAUUCUGAACUGCUGGGUCUGGAGAAAAGCUCCAGGGUGUAGCCACCUCCUCCCCAUUGCCAUCCUGCUUAAUCACAUCACCCACCAUGUGCCACCAUUUUGCUGCAUGCUUGUUUCAAAAUGGUCACCAUGGCAUGGCGAUUUUCUUUUUAAAAAAAGGGACUGCAAUGGCAGAAUGGGUCCUAUUGGGAGGUGAUGGCUGUUUGUUUGUUUGUUUGUUUGUUUGUUUAUUGUUAAAUUUAUAUACCACCGUUCAUUAAAAACAAUCCCAAGGUGGUUUACAGCAAAAUUUUAAAAACAAGAUUAUAAAAAUUAUACAGUUAAAAUAUUAAGCUAAAAAUAUGAGACAAAUCUGCUUAAAAAUUUUUAGACACAAGUAUAAAAACAAUACAAAAUACAAAGUACAAAGAGCAGCAGCAGAGACAAUCAUAUAAAAGCCUGGGUAAAAAGCCAAGAUAUAACAUGCUUUCUAAAAGCUGUGAUGGAGACUGAGGAGUGAAUAACCACCGGGAGAGCAUUCCAGAGUCUGGGGACAGCAACAGAGAAGGCCCUGUCCCAUGUGCAUGCCAACCGAGCCUCUCUCAUUGUUGGCACCCAGAGCAGAGCCCCCUCAGAUGACCUCAUCAAGUGGGCAGCAACCCUUGGGAGCAGGCAGUCCUUCAGAUAUGCAGGGCCCAAACCAUUAAGAGCUUUAAAGGUCAAAACCAGCACCUUGAAUUGGACACCUUAUAUCUUGGGUACAGUUUCCUGCAGUUAAAGUAACAAUAGAGUAUUUCCAUUUCCGCAAAGAAAACUGUAAUGGAAGGAUGGGUACCAGUUGGAGAGUGAGGCAGAAGGCUGAGCAGAGUAGAGUGAUUGACAGGUGGGAGCAGCCGUUAAGGGUUGUGGCCAACUCAUAGUGAGAAAGAAAACCAGUGGAAGAAUCAUGCCAAUUAUAGUAUAAGCUAUAAAAGCCCUAAAUGGCUUGGGACUGGGUUACCUGAGAGAGCGCCUUGUCCCAUAUGUCCCAACCCAGACAAUGGGGCGAUUCUCACGAUCAACAAAAAUCAGGCUAGCAGAGGCUAGCCCAAUUUUUGUUGUCCGUAAGAACCACCGGGCUCGCAGCCAAGCCCGGUGGUUCUUGAGCAGGUAACCCGCUCAAGAACCCGUGCUAAAAAGCAGGUUUGCAGAGCGAGCGCUCCAGCAAACCUGCUUUUUAGCAUCGCGAGUAGCCCCCCAGCUGGGGGCAUACUGGGGCUUGCAGGGGCCGCGCGGCCCCCGCUCCCCCCACCCCCUGCCGGCUCUGUCUCGGAGCCGGCCAUCGUGUGGGCGGCCGAUCCGGCUGCCUAGGGCUCCCUUCCCGCUCACUGCCCCAAACCAGGUCUCACUGAUCGUGAGACCCGGUCCCUUGAGAUCUUUGGAGGCCCUCCUCUGGAAGCCCCUGCCAAAUGAGGUGAGGCGGUGGCUACUUGGGAGAAGGCCUUUUCAGUGGCAGCCUCCCCAGUAAGGUUUGCCUGGCUUUAUUACUUUGUUCAUGCGGAUGCCAGGUAAAGGCCUUUUUGUUCACCCAGGCCUUUUAAAUUCUGGCUUUCUGAUUUGAUUUGACUCUUAACAGAUUUUAAAAUGAGUUUUUAAACUGCUUUGUAUUGUAUUUUGUAUUUUCUAGCUUUUUGUCUGUUAUGAUUUAUGUGUUAUGUGUUUUUAUUGUAUGUUUUAAUCCUGUGUUGUGAGCCACCCAGAGAACAAUUUGUUAUGGGGUGGCUAACUAAUAAAGUUGUUUAUUUUUAUCCUAAA